rnacentral:misc_RNA from 1 species
GAAAUGCGAUAAGUAAUGUGAAUUGCAGAAUUCAGUGAAUCAUCGAAUCUUUGAACGCACAUUGCGCCCGCCAGUAUUCUGGCGGGCAUGCCUGUCCGAGCGUCAUUUCAACCAUCAAGCCCCCGGGCUUGUGUUGGGGACCUGCAGCUGCCCGCAGGCCCUGAAAACCAGUGGCGGGCUCGCUGUCACACCGAGCGUAGUAGCAAUCACCUCGCUCAGGGCGUGCUGCGGGUUCCGGCCGUUAAACAGCCUUACAAAACCCAAGGUUGACCUCGGAUCAGGUAGGAAGACCCGCUGAACUUAAGC